UUCAAAUGUCUAAAUGAGGCCUUGAGGAA
rnacentral:piRNA from 1 species